rnacentral:ncRNA from 1 species
CGCCAUAAGGGAUAGUAUUACCCUUAUGGCGACAAUGUAGCAUGCAGCA